GUUGAAAAAUUAGCGGAUGACUUGUGGCUGGGGGUGAAAGGCCAAUCAAACCGGGAGAUAGCUGGUUCUCCCCGAAAGCUAUUUAGGUAGCGCCUCGUGAAUUCAUCUCCGGGGGUAGAGCACUGUUUCGGCAAGGGGGUCAUCCCGACUUACCAACCCGAUGCAAACUGCGAAUACCGGAGAAUGUUAUCACGGGAGACACACGGCGGGUGCUAACGUCCGUCGUGAAGAGGGAAACAACCCAGACCGCCAGCUAAGGUCCCAAAGUCAUGGUUAAGUGGGAAACGAUGUGGGAAGGCCCAGACAGCCAGGAUGUUGGCUUAGAAGCAGCCAUCAUUUAAAGAAAGCGUAAUAGCUCACUGGU
rnacentral:rRNA from 1 species